rnacentral:tRNA from 1 species
GUUGUGACUCAGUGGUAGAGUGCUUGCCUGGCAUGUGCAAGAUGCUGGGUUCAAUCCCCAGCACAACA